AUCAUACUCUUGAUGAUCUCGGCUCGGAGUAUUGCUUGGAGAAUGCCAAUAACGAAUCCACUGAAGCGUUUCCAACGAAACAAGUUAUCGUUGAAGGAGAGACAGCAACGCUUCCAGAACAUACGGGAAACAC